rnacentral:rRNA from 1 species
UACGAAGGGGGCUAGCGUUGCUCGGAAUUACUGGGCGUAAAGCGCACGUAGGCGGCUUUCUAAGUCGGGGGUGAAAUCCUGGAGCUCAACUCCAGAACUGCCUUCGAUACUGGAAAGCUCGAGUCCGGGAGAGGUGAGUGGAACUGCGAGUGUAGAGGUGAAAUUCGUAGAUAUUCGUAAGAACACCAGUGGCGAAGGCGGCUCCACUGGCCGGUACUGACGCUGAGGUGACGAAAGCGUGGGGAGCAAACAGG